AUUGAACGCUGGCGGCAGGCCUAACACAUGCAAGUCGAACGAGUGGCGGACGGGUGAGUAGUGUCUGGGAAACUGCCUGAUGGAGGGGGAUACAUACUGGAAACGGUAGCUAAUACCGCAUACCAUCGGAUGUGCCCAGAGUGGAUUAGCUAGUAGGUGGGGUAAAGGCUCCCCUAGGCGACGAUCCCUAGCUGGUAUGAGAGGAUGACCAGCCACACUGGAACUGAGACACGGUCCAGACUCCUACGGGGGGCAGCAUUGGGGAAUAUUGCACAAUGGGCGAAAGCCUGAUGCAGCCAUGCCGCGUGGAUGAAGAAGGCGUUCGGGUUGUAAAGUACUUUCGUCGGGGAGGCGUUACCCGCAGAAGAAGCACCGGCUAACUCCGUGCCAGCAGCCGCGGUAAUAC
rnacentral:rRNA from 1 species